rnacentral:rRNA from 1 species
AUGAACGCUGGCGGCGUGCCUAAUCCAUGCAAGUCGAGCGAACGGACGAGAAGCUUGCUUCUCUGAUGUUAGCGGCGGACGGGUGAGUAACACGUGGAUAACCUACCUAUAAGACUGGGAUAACUUCGGGAAACCGGAGCUAGUACCGGAUAAUAUUUUGAACCGCAUGGUUCAAAAGUGAAAGACGGUCUUGCUGUCACUUAUAGAUGGAUCCGCGCUGCAUUAGCUAGUUGGUAAGGUAACGGCUUACCAAGGCAACGAUGCAUAGCCGACCUGAGAGGGUGAUCGGCCACACUGGAACUGAGACACGGUCCAGACUCCUACGGGAGGCAGCAGUAGGGAAUCUUCCGCAAUGGGCGAAAGCCUGACGGAGCAACGCCGCGUGAGUGAUGAAGGUCUUCGGAUCGUAAAACUCUGUUAUUAGGGAAGAACAUAUGUGUAAGUAACUGUGCACAUCUUGACGGUACCUAAUCAGAAAGCCACGGCUAACUACGUG